GAUGAACGCUGGCGGCGUGCUUAAUACAUGCAAGUCGAGCGAACAGAUGAGGAGCUUGCUCCUCUGACGUUAACGGCGGACGUGUGAGUAACACGUGGAUAACCUAACUAUAAGACUACGAUAACUUCGUGAAACCGGUACUAAUAACGGAUAAUAUAUGCAACCGCAUGGUUCAAUAGUUAAAGACGGUUUUGCUGUCACUUAUAGAUGUAUCCGCGCCGCAGUAGCUGGUUGGUAAGGUAACGGCUUACCAAGGCAACGCUGCGUGGCCGACCUGAGAGGGUGAAGCGCCACACUGGAACUGAGAGACGGUCCAGACUCUUACGGGAGGCAGCGGCACGGACUCUUGCGCGAUGGGGGGAAGCCUGAAGGAGCAACGCAGCGUGAGUGCUGAAGGUCUUCGGAUCGGAAGACUCUGUUCUUAGGGAAGACCAAAUGUGUAAGUAACUAUGCACGUCUUGACGGUACCUAAACAGAAAGCCACGGCUAACUACGUG
rnacentral:rRNA from 1 species